AGUACUGUCAUGGCGUGUGUGUGUAAUAAUCUCAUGGUGUUUGUGUAGUACUGUCGCUGUGUUUGUGUAGUACUGUCAUGGCGUGUGUGUGUAGUACUGUCACUGUGUUUGUGUAGUACUGUCACUGUGUUUGUGUAGUACUGUCGCUGUAUUUGUGUAAUAAUGUCAUGGUGUUUGUGUAGUACUGUCAUGGCGUGUGUGUGUAAUAAUGUCAUGGUGUUUGUGUAGUACUGUCGCUGUGUUUGUGUAGUACUGUCAUGGCGUGUGUGUGUAGUACUGUCAUUGUGUUUGUGUAGUACAGUUGAAGAGUUUGUUCUAUACUGGAUGUGUAGCAGAAAAAAAGUUGUGUCUGAUGUAUUGGAGUAUGUGUUUUUGGUGUUGAAACAUGUAUAGGACAAAGACACCUUGUUUGGGAGUGUUGCAUGCAGUGUGAAAGUGCAGUGUAUUGGGGUGAGGGGAG